rnacentral:rRNA from 1 species
AUUGAACGCUGGCGGAAUGCUUUACACAUGCAAGUCGAACGGUAGAGGGGCAACCCUUGAGAGUGGCGAACGGGUGAGUAAUGUAUCGGAACAUGCCCAGUCGUGGGGGAUAACGUAGCGAAAGUUACGCUAAUACCGCAUACGAUCUAUGGAUGAAAGCGGGGGAUCGCAAGACCUCGCGCGAUUGGAGUGGCCGAUAUCAGAUUAGGUAGUUGGUGGGGUAAGGGCCUACCAAGCCGACGAUCUGUAGCUGGUCUGAGAGGACGACCAGCCACACUGGGACUGAGACACGGCCCAGACUCCUACGGGAGGCAGCAGUGGGGAAUUUUGGACAAUGGGCGCAAGCCUGAUCCAGCCAUUCCGCGUGCAGGAAGAAGGCCUUCGGGUUGUAAACUGCUUUUGUACGGAACGAAACGCGCUGAGCUAAUACCUCGGCGUAAUGACGGUACCGUAAGAAUAAGCACCGGCUAACUACGUGCCAGCCGCCGCCGUAA